rnacentral:rRNA from 1 species
ACAGCAGCCGCCGCGGUAAAACCAGCACCUCGAGUGGUCAGGAGGUUUAUUGGGCCUAAAGCAUCCGUAGCCGGUUGCAUAAGUUUUCGGUUAAAUCUAUGCGCUUAACGUAUAGGCCGCCGAAAAUACUGUGCAGCUAGGGAGUGGGGGAGGUACACGGUACUCGAUAGGAAGGGGUAAAAUCCUUUGAUCUAUUGAUGACCACCUGUGGCGAAGGCGGUGUACCAGAACACGUUCGACGGUGAGGGAUGAAAGCUGGGGGAGCAAACCGGAUUAGAUACCCCCGUAGUCCCUGUCUCUUAUAC